UACGGGGGGGGCAAGCGUUGUUCGGAAUUACUGGGCGUAAAGGGCUCGUAGGUGGCCAACUAAGUCAUACGUGAAAUCCCUCGGCUUAACCGGGGAACUGCGUCUGAUACUGGAUGGCUUGAGGUUGGGAGAGGGAUGCGGAAUUCCAGGUGUAGCGGUGAAAUGCGCAGAUAUCAGGAAGAACACCCGUGGCGAAGGCGGCUCUCUGGGACGGUACUGACGCUGAGACGCGAAAGCGUGGGGAGCGAACAGG
rnacentral:rRNA from 1 species